rnacentral:rRNA from 1 species
UUACCUACGGGGGGCAGCAGUGAGGAAUAUUGGUCAAUGGCCGAGAGGCUGAACCAGCCAAGUCGCGUGAGGGAUGACGGCCCUACGGGUUGUAAACCUCUUUUGUCGGGGAGCAAGACCCGCCUCGUGCAGGCGGAGCGAGAGUACCCGAAGAAAAAGCAUCGGCUAACUCCGUGCCAGCAGCCGCGGUAAUACGGAGGAUGCGAGCGUUAUCCGGAUUUAUUGGGUUUAAAGGGCGUGUAGGCGGGCCUGCAAGUCAGAAGUGAAAUCUGGGGGCUUAACCCCUAAACUGCUUUUGAAACUGG